GUCCACGGCCACACCACCCUGAAUGCCCACGAUCUCGUCUGAUGUCGGAAGCUAAGUAGGGUCGGCCUAGGUUAGAACGUGGAUGGGAGCCCAAACAGCCACCGCACGGGGCUUUCUUCC
rnacentral:rRNA from 1 species